GCUCCAGCUCUGCACACGCUGCCCAGCAGCCACGGGGCAGCAGCAGAGUUUGGGGUGUGUGGCACAGCCCUGGGCACAGGCACUGAGCACACCCCCUCCCCUGCACACACCAGCCCAGCUGGGAGCCCCACAGUCCGGGAAGGCGACAUCCCCGUGGGACACAGGGGGAGGAGCUGAGGGUGUCACAAACCACCCAACACCCUCCAGGGCCCCAGAGCCAUUCCUGAGGACACUGCACAGCAUGGAACAGCUCCAGAGUCUGCUGCAUGGGGCACUGACAAACCUGCCCUCCCAGGGAAUUCCCACCUGGCCCAAACAUCCAUAAAUCCACUGCACUCUGUGUGUGGUGGGACCCUCAACACCAGGACAACAGAGGAAGAGGAUCAAUGGAACGCUGCUGGGAUCUACAGUGGCAAGUUGCACAACAACCCAACCACCACAGAACUGCAUUCAUGAUGAAGGAUUUUGUCUGUGGAAGGAAAUCUGUGAUGCAGAGAUGCACGAGAUAAAAACUGCAACAUGUAAACCAACUGAACCAGAUGUUAGAAGAUUUAACCAGAGUAACUCCACUGAAGCUGGAGAAGAUUCAGGAUGCAAGAACAGCUCAUCCUUAUCCAG